UACGUAGGGGGCAAGCGUUGUCCGGAAUCAUUGGGCGUAAAGCGCGUGUAGGCGGCCAGAAAAGUCCGCUGUGAAAACUCGAGGCUCAACUUCGAGCUGUCGGUGGAAACUUUUCUGGCUAGAGUCCGGAAGAGGAGAAUGGAAUUCCUGGUGUAGCGGUGAAAUGCGCAGAUAUCAGGAAGAACACCCGUGGCGAAGGCGGUUCUCUGGGACGGUACUGACGCUGGAGACGGCGAAAGCGUGGGGAGCGAACAGG
rnacentral:rRNA from 1 species